CUCCGUGUGGCGCAGCUGGCAGCGCGCGUGAUGGCAGCGCGCGUGUUUCGGGAACACGAGGCCGCGGGUUCGAGACCUGCCACCGAGACCA
rnacentral:tRNA from 1 species